AUGCCACACUCGGUGACGAUUCAAUUGACCGGCGCAUGCGUCCGACAAGAUCAAGCGUUGCCGGGGCAGCCGGAGGGCGUCGACUUCGACCAAUACGGUGGGUACGUGAUCGUCGACGAGGAGAACGGCCGCGCCCUCUUCUACUACCUCGUGGAGUCAGCUUCAGAGAAGCCACUCCUGCUAUGGCUCAAUGGAGGGCCAGGGUGCUCGUCGCUGGGGUACGGAGCAAUGCAGGAGCUGGGCCCGUUCCGUGUAACCGAAGACAACAGGACGCUCAGCAGAAACAUGCACGCCUGGAACAGCGUGGCUAACAUGAUCUUCCUGGAGUCGCCAGCCGGUGUGGGAUUCUCUUACUCCAACACGUCUGCGGACUACGACCUCAGUGGCGACCAGCGAACCGCCGCCGACGCGUACGUCUUCCUGGUGAGAUGGCUGGAGAGGUUCCCGGAGUACAAGGACCGCGCCUUCUACAUCUCCGACGAGAGCUACACCGGCCACUACGCGCCACAGCUCGUCGUUACCAUCCUACUCCACAACACAUGCAACAACAGAAGCAUCAUAAACCUUCAGGGCAUCUUGGUAGGUCAAAUUUACUACCAGCUAUAG
rnacentral:rRNA from 1 species